UGGGGAAUUUUGGACAAUGGGCGAAAGCCUGAUCCAGCAAUGCCGCGUGUGUGAAGAAGGCCUUCGGGUUGUAAAGCACUUUUGUCCGGAAAGAAAUCCUUGGCUCUAAUACAGUCGGGGGAUGACGGUACCGGAAGAAUAAGCACCGGCUAACUACGUGCCAGCAGCCGCGGUAAUACGUAGGGUGCAAGCGUUGAUCGGAAUUACUGGGCGUAAAGCGUGCGCAGGCGGUUUGCUAAGACCGAUGUGAAAUCCCCGGGCUCAACCUGGGAACUGCAUUGGUGACUGGCAGGCUAGAGUAUGGCAGAGGGGGGUAGAAUUCCACGUGUAGCAGUGAAAUGCGUAGAGAUGUGGAGGAAUACCGAUGGCGAAGGCAGCCCCUGGGCAAUACUGACGCUCAUGCACGAAAGCGUGGGGAGCAAACAGGAUUAGAUACCCUGGUAGUCCACGCCCUAAAACGAUGUCAACUAGUUGUUGGGGAUUCAUUUCCUUAGUAACGUAGCUAACGCGUGAAGUUGACCGCCUGGGGAGUACGGUCGCAAGAUUAAAACUCAAAGGAAUUGACGGGGUCAUA
rnacentral:rRNA from 1 species